rnacentral:tRNA from 1 species
AGGGUGUGAUUUUGCUGCGCCCUGCAAAGGUGCGGGAGAUCUUUGUUGGUCCACAUCUUU